rnacentral:rRNA from 1 species
AUUGAACGCUAGCGGGAUGCUUUACACAUGCAAGUCGAACGAGUGGCGGACGGGUGAGUAAUAUAUCGGAACGUGCCCAGUAGCGGGGGAUAACUACUCGAAAGAGUGUCUAAUACCGCAUACUCUUGGAGCGGCCGAUAUGGGAUUAGCUAGUUGGGUGGGUAAAGGCUCACCAAGGCGACGAUCCGUAGCUGGUUUGAGAGGAUGACCAGCCACACUGUGACUGAGACACGGCCCAGACUCCUACGGGAGGCAGCAGUGGUGAAUUUUGGACAAUGGGCGAAAGCCUGAUGCAGCCAUCCCGCGUGUAUGAGAAGGCCUUCGGGUUGUAAAGUACUUUUAGCAGGGAAGCGGUAUCUGCAGAAUAAGCACCGGCUAACUACGUGCCAGCAGCCGCGGUAAUUC